rnacentral:rRNA from 1 species
GACGUAGGGCGCGAGCGUUGUCCGGAUUUAUUGGGCGUAAAGAGCGUGUAGGCGGCCGCACAGGUCCGUUGUGAAAACUGGAGGCUUAACCUUCAGACGUCGAUGGAAACCGUGCGGCUAGAGUCCGGAAGAGGAGAAUGGAAUUCCUGGUGUAGCGGUGAAAUGCGCAGAUAUCAGGAAGAACACCCGUGGCUAAGGCGGUUCUCUAGUACGGUACUGACGCUGAGACGCGAAAGCGUGGGGAGCGAACAGG